UACGAAGGGUGCAAACGUUGCUCGGAAUUAUUGGGCGUAAAGCGCACGUAGGCGGCAUCGCAAGUCGGAUGUGAAAUCUUAUGGCUUAACCAUAAAAGUGCAUCCGAAACUGCAGUGCUUGAGUACUUAAGAGGAUCGCGGAAUUCCAGGUGUAGCGGUGAAAUGCGUAGAUAUCUGGAGGAACACCGGUGGCGAAGGCGGCGUUCUGGACUGCAACUGACACUGAGAAACGAAAGCCAGGGGAGCAAACGGG
rnacentral:rRNA from 1 species